rnacentral:rRNA from 1 species
GACGUAGGGCGCGAGCGUUGUCCGGAUUUAUUGGGCGUAAAGAGCUCGUAGGCGGUCUGUCACGUCGGCUGUGAAAACCCGAGGCUCAACCUCGGGCCUGCAGUCGAUACGGGCAGACUAGAGUUCGGUAGGGGAGACUGGAAUUCCUGGUGUAGCGGUGAAAUGCGCAGAUAUCAGGAGGAACACCGGUGGCGAAGGCGGGUCUCUGGGCAUUAACUGACGCUGAGGAGCGAAAGCAUGGGGAGCGAACAGG